AGUGAACGCUGGCGGUAGGCCUAACACAUGCAAGUCGAACGGCGGCACAGUAAGAGCUUGCUCUUACGGGUGGCGAGUGGCGGACGGGUGAGGAAUACAUCGGAAUCUACUUUUUCGUGGGGGAUAACGUAGGGAAACUUACGCUAAUACCGCAUACGACCUACGGGUGAAAGCAGGGGAUCUUCGGACCUUGCGCGAUUGAAUGAGCCGAUGUCGGAUUAGCUAGUUGGCGGGGUAAAGGCCCACCAAGGCGACGAUCCGUAGCUGGUCGGAGAGGAUGAUCAGCCACACUGGAACUGAGACACGGUCCAGACUCCUACGGGAGGCAGCAGUGGGGAAUAUUGGACAAUGGGCGCAAGCCUGAUCCAGCCAUACCGCGUGGGUGAAGAAGGCCUUCGGGUUGUAAAGCCCUUUUGUUGGGAAAGAAAAGCAGCAGGUUAAUACCCCGCUGUUCUGACGGUACCCAAAGAAUAAGCACCGGCUAACUUCGUG
rnacentral:rRNA from 1 species